UGCCUACUGGGGAGUAUGGUACGCGGUUGGGAAACUUAUGAGUAGAGUGCAACAAAAGUGCAGAGGACUCUGCAAAGUUUCAACGACGUCAAUGAUUUAGAUAACAUUGUUAAAAAAAAAGUGCGCAGAUGCAAUAUAAUAUUUUGCGAAAAUUAAAUGUUACGAUGUUAAAUGCGAUGAAAAAUGCUGUCGCCAAUGCAUCAGUUGAUUUAUAUGAAUAAUCUGUACGUUUACAGGUAACGAUUGUUUGCAAAAGAAAUCUACACGCAUUCCAAACGUCUACAAACAAAUUCACAUAUAUGAUUUUAUUGAUUUCUUUUGGUAAUACGUUAGCUCUCCUAUGGAUUUUGAGCCCCAGAGUUUUCGACCCAUUAGGGUAUAACAUAUUGCCAUCAACGCCAUAGGUACUAGAUACGUUACGCUCAAAAAUACGAUGUUAUAACUGUAACAAAAUAAAUGCUUCAUUGAAAAUACUAAAAUAAUUUCAUGAUAUUUAGAUAUAUGAACUGUUGCAUCCUAUAAUUAAGGGUUUAAGCUUAUUUUUACAACUACUACAGGUUACUUACAGACAAAUCUUUGAAAUUAGUGAUCGGAUCGAUAUCAAAUCAAUACUAUCGAUAACAGUUCGCAAAUUAUGACGUGUGAAUAGUAUCUAAGGCGUAGGUAUCAAAAAUACACAAAUAAUAAAUGUAUCAAUAUGUAAGUACAAAUAACAUUGUGUCAAAAUGCGUUUUCCUUUGAUAAGUCGCAAGAUGCGCAAAAUUUGAUAGGCGUGUAGACUUUUGCGGCUGAUCGUAUGUAUUCAUCGUCUGUUACAAUAUUUAUAGAAUUUUUCGCGGUCAUCGUGAAAAACUGAAAACGUGAUAUAAAUCCAGCAUUUUCUAAGAAUUAAUUAAAAGAGUCGCGUGGUGCAAUACACGUAGUUAUAUAAAAUCCAAACCCCGGGGAAAUUCCAUAACACUGACAGAAAUCGUCCGAAUAUACUUCGCGAUAUUGCACAAGUUUUAUUACUUCUCCACAAUACUACACAAUGGAAUGUGAGCGCGAGUGAGCGAAAAAUGUUCGCAUAGUAGCUUGUUUUCAGCAGUGGAUCAAUUCAAUGCUGUCAUCGAUCAAUUAUAUCUGAACAUUCCAGUCAGUUUUAACUUUAACGUUCAAACGAGUCAGAAUUAUAAAGCUAUCGAACGAUCAGGAGAAUAAAAUGACUUUAACAACAUGGUAAUUCGAAACCUUUACUUAUUCAAAUUUGUUGCCUUAAAUA
rnacentral:misc_RNA from 1 species